rnacentral:lncRNA from 1 species
AUAGAAAUGAGGAGGGGUCAAGUGUGUUUUUAGCACAAAACCUGUUUCUUGGUUUAUACUCUUUCAUCAGAAUCUUUCCAUCACCUGCGGUGAGUCAUUAACUGCAGCCCUACUCCCCCUUGCUCAGUGACUCAUGCGUUGUUUUCUGCAAAAUUGCAUGGUUUCAGCAGAAGGAACGGUGAAAAUCCCACAUUCGGAGUAAUCUGUAAUUAAGGAUCCUAGUGGUCUGUUAAACAGAAGACCAGGGUUAAAAUCCAGUCGCAGAAGGGAGUUGAACGUUGCUUUUUUGCUCCUAGGCAGGCUCUGACAGAGAUGGCAGCCACAGCUUCUAGGAGAUUCCUCGUGUCUUUCCAGUUUUAUUUAUUGUAUUGCUUCUU